AACUAUAACGGUCCUAAGGUAGCGAAAUUCCUUGUCAGGUAAGUUCUGACCCGCAUGAAAGGCGUAAUGAUUUGGGCACUGUCUCAACAGCCCGCCCGGCGAAAUUGUAGUACCGGUGAAGAUGCCGGUUACCCGCGACAAGACGGAAAGACCCCAUGGAGCUUUACUGUAGCCUAAUAUUGGGUUUCGAUGUUGCAUGCACAGGAUAGAUGGGACACAGGGAAACAAGUGCUUUGGCAUUUGUGGAGUGGCCGUUGGGAUACCAUCCUUGCGAUAUUGGAAUUCUAACCUGCGCCUUUGAAUCAAGGCGGGGGACAUUGUUAGGUGGGCAGUUUGACUGGGGCGGUCGCCUCCUAAAGAGUAACGGAGGCGUUCAAAGGUUCGCUCAGCUUGAACGGAAAUCAAGCAAAAGAGUGCAAACGCAGAAGCGAGCCUAACUGCGAGACUGACGGGUCGAGCAGUAACGAAAGUUGGAGUUAGUGAUCCGGUGGUAUGUGAGUGGAAAUGCCAUCGCUCAACGGAUAAAAGCUACCCUGGGGAUAACAGGCUGAUCUCCCCCAAGAGUCCACAUCGACGGGGAGGUUUGGCACCUCGAUGUCGGCUCAUCGCAUCCUGGGGCUGUAUUCGGUCCCAAGGGUUUGGCUGUUCGCCAAUUAAAGCGGUACGCGAGCUGGGUUCAGAACGUCGUGAGACAGUUCGGUCCCUAUCUGUCGUGGGCGCAGGAUAUUUGAUGGGAGCUGUUCCUAGUACGAGAGGACCGGAGCGGACGUACCUCUGGCGCACCAGUUGUUCUGCCAAGGGCAUAGCUGGGCAACUAUGUACGGAUCGGAUAAACGCUGAAAGCAUCUAAGCGUGAAGCCGACCCAAAGAUAAGAUAUCCCAUUGUUUCAAACAAGUAAGACCCCUUGAAGACUACAAGGUUGAUAGGCACGAUGUGUAAGUGGAGUGAUCCAUUCAGCAAGCGUGUACUAAUAGGUCGAGGGCUUGACCAC
rnacentral:rRNA from 1 species